rnacentral:lncRNA from 1 species
CUUUCUAGGUCACGAUGUUGAUCUAUGGGAUAUGGUAGUUGAUGGUUGCAUACACCCAAUAGAUGCAAAUGGCAAUAAAAUGGAAAUAAGAGUGAUGACUGAUCAACAAAAGAAAGACUAUAAGAAUCAUCAUAAAACAAGAACCAUAUUGCUAAAUUCUAUUUCAUACACUGAGUGUGAGAAAAUCACCAACAAAGAUAUUGCUAAGUCUAUAUCUGAUUCUCUGAGGAUGACGCAUGAAGGG